rnacentral:lncRNA from 1 species
GUGUUCUCCGAGCUAUAACCAGGAUAUCUAUCCUGUUAAUUUUCAGGAUAUCUAUCCUGUUAAUUUUCUUAUGCAUUUUUACUCUGGUUCUCCUGUGAGUAUUAUAUUUGGCUUUAUGGAAAUCCAUAAGAUGAAACUCCAUAACUUACAUCGCAACAUAGAUCCUAUAAACACCAAUUUCAUCUGUUGUACAAUAUUGGCCAACUCACAAUUUUGAUCAAAUAUAUCAUUCCAUAAAGAAUCCAAUUUACUGAAGUUAACAAUUUUCAACGAUUAUACGAACAUCAUCAUACGACAAAAGAAAAACAUCUCUAUUUCCGAACCAUUGUCUCCUCCAUUGCAUAUUCUAAGGGUUUUUUAGUGAUUCAGAUUUGCUCAUAACCCGAUACCACAUAUAUUGUAUCAAACAAUGAACAUUAAUAUGUUUUCCCUUCAUUAUUGCAAGUCUUGUUACGCCCAUUGAACAUGCCACAUCAACUUCCACUAACCAAAACGAACAAGCUGCCUUUAUCACGACCAAAAGUGAUUUGUCCACCAUCCAUUGCUUCCCAGUGAUAUCUUCUUCUUUUCGAAUAACAAACUCCAUGGAAUGCAAUCUUUCGAUGUAACGUCGUAUUUCCAAGUCCCGGUGAUAACUAAUUGUGCAUAUCAUCCUCACAAUAUAUAGCUUUCAAUUCCGUAACAAAUAACGAUGUUCAUAACCAUAUAUCUGGAGAUUCAUCACCCUUACCCCAUAAGAUAUGACUAGAUGAUUAAUCCAUGGAUCUCAAACCGGAUUAUGGAUUAUCUCUCCCAAAUUGGAGAUAAAAUAUUGGCAACCAAUUAGGACUCGGUAAUGGGAGAAACGAACCGGUUUUAUCAUGAACCAUCGAAAUCCUUUGAAGAAAACUCCACAAGAGGAAAGCCGACACAAACUUCAUUGGAUCCAUGGAAUUUGGCCGGAAAAUCAUUCUCUUGAACAAAGAGAUAAACAGAAAUCCAUUGAAGGUGAAACAUUGAUGAAGACAACAUGAUAUUUUGAUGAAGACAAUUGUUCACCGAAACAACAAACGAAGAACUAAAAAAAGAAAGAGUACAUCUAACAUUGGAGUCGGCCGGAGGAAUGAUGAUGAUCGGGGCUUUCAGAGAAUCGAUGGUAAAAUCGCCAAAGGUUUUGAGAGAGAACGGUUUCCAUCAGUUAUGUUUUCAUCGCUGA